rnacentral:rRNA from 1 species
CAGCCGCCGCGGGAAUACGGAGGGAGCUAGCGUUAUUCGGAAUUACUGGGCGUAAAGCGUGCGCAGGCGGUUCUAUAAGACAGAUGUGAAAUCCCCGGGCUCAACCUGGGAACUGCAUUUGUGACUGUAGAGCUGGAGUGCGGCAGAGGGGGAUGGAAUUCCGCGUGUAGCAGUGAAAUGCGUAGAUAUGCGGAGGAACACCGAUAGCGAAGGCAGCCCCCUGGCCAAUACUGACGCUCAUGCACGAAAGCGUGGGGAGCAAACAGGAUUAGAUACCCCCGUAGUCCCUGUCUCUUAUACA